rfam:Oryctolagus cuniculus chromosome 11, whole genome shotgun sequence.
CAACAGCCUCCUCCAAUGCAGUGUGAUUGUGAUUCAUAGCACAAAGCUGGAGAGCGGGGGGCAGGGGAACAGAAAACCUGCCAGGUCUCAUCGCAUUGAACUUGAUAACAGACAGCACAGCACCUUGAAAACGAAUCAUCUGCUAGUUCAGUCUUUUCUACAAACGAUCUCACUCCCUCCCAGGGCGUGUAAUUAAUUUACUGAGUUAAAAAAAAAAAAAAG